CCCCUGAGCUCUCAUGUGCCCAUUCCUGGGUGUGCAGCAGAGCUGGCCAUUGCAGCUGCGGAGGUGAGGACUGCACUGCGAGCUGAGUGGGAACCGCCCCUUCCCAACACUGAGGCCCAAGGGCACGGGAUGCUCCCAGUGCCAAUGGCUGAGGGAGCCUCGGGGGCUGCUGCUGGAGGAGCCAGAAACGCACAGGGAGCAUUUGAGACGCGGCAAGGACAGCUCCUGGCUCUGUCUGCUCCCGCCGCCGCUCCCUUUGCUCCCGCCGAGAGUCGUUUCCGGCAGCUCCGUUCUCUCUCGGGGCUGGGACCCCGGCAGCUCUGUUCUCUCUCGGGGCUGGGACUCCGGCAGCUCUGUUCUCUCUCGGGGCUGGGACACCGGCAGCUCUGUUCUCUCUCGGGGCUGGGACGUGCUUUCUGCCUCUGCCUCACUCAGCAAACGCUUGGUCACUCAGCAGCUUGCUCUCGGCAUGCACCUGGCAUAUCUCAUCCUCACCGUCUUCCUAGGCCAGCUCCUGGGCACCAGGGGGCAGGACACGGUCACCCAGGAAGAUGGACCAGUCACGGUGAAGCAGGGACAGCCCUUCCACACCACCUGCAAAUACCACGGCAGUACUUUUAAUGCCUUGCUCUGGUACCAGCUGAGGAAAGGCCAAGCCCCACAGCUCAUCUCCUAUCAAGCAGGGAGUGGCCCCAGGCCCAGUGGCCGAAUCACCACAUACCUGAACACCACAAGCAAAUCCAGUGUCCUGAAGCUGGAGGAAGUGGAGCUCUCUGACAGUGCCUUGUACCUCUGUGCUGUGCAAGACACCCUGGUGCAGAGAGCUUCCUCAGCUGUGCAACAACCCAGGGCAGGGAGGGGAUGAGUCAGUGCAAGGCUGAGCUUGGGGAAGGACCCUGAUGGCACCCCAGUGCUCACCAGAAUUUGCAUCCAAUUGUGUGGUCAAUGGUUUUCAUGAUGUCCAUCCUGACACUACCCUUUGGAAACUAUUUUGGACUACUUGGACUCAUUUCCAUCCUAUUGUGCUGUCUGUAAGUAAAGAAUAAUAUACCAUGUGCUUGCCAGCAACCUUGUCCAUCCACACUAGAGCCCUGCUGCUUUUGGCCCCACGUGUCCUCAGCAGAGCCCAGGGCUGGUUGUGUGUUCCUGCCUUGGGUGCCCUUGGAGCAUCCCCGUUUGCAUGGACACACGUGAAGCACGGAUUUGUCUGUGGCUCCCCAGUGGAGAGAACGGCCCUGUGUCUGUCCGUGUGUGUCCCUGAUCGGGAGGGAAUGUCCUGACCAUGCCAGGGACACCGAGCACUGUCCUGGCCCUGAACAGCAGAGAGCAGCAGCUGCCCAGGCUCACAAACAGCCUGAGAGCGGCUGA